GGUCAAGAGUGAUCAGCGAUACGCCCUCCGCGUGCUGGUCCGGCAACCGCGCACUCUCGCGCACGGUGCCUCGGGGGAAGACCGGCCCGUCGGCGACCGCCGUCGGGAAGUGCGAAGG
rnacentral:ncRNA from 2 species